AGUGAACGCUGGCGGUAGGCCUAACACAUGCAAGUCGAACGGCAGCACAGUAAGAGCUUGCUCUUACGGGUGGCGAGUGGCGGACGGGUGAGGAAUACAUCGGAAUCUACUUUUUCGUGGGGGAUAACGUAGGGAAACUUACGCUAAUACCGCAUACGACCUACGGGUGAAAGCAGGGGAUCUUCGGACCUUGCGCGAUUGAAUGAGCCGAUGUCGGAUUAGCUAGUUGGCGGGGUAAAGGCCCACCAAGGCGACGAUCCGUAGCUGGUCUGAGAGGAUGAUCAGCCACACUGGAACUGAGACACGGUCCAGACUCCUACGGGAGGCAGCAGUGGGGAAUCUUGGACAAUGGGCGCAAGCCUGAUCCAGCCAUACCGCGUGGGUGAAGAAGGCCUUCGGGUUGUAAAGCCCUUUUGUUGGGAAAGAAAAGCAGCAGGUUAAUACGCCGCUGUUCUGACGGUACCCAAAGAAUAAGCACCGGCUAACUUCGUG
rnacentral:rRNA from 1 species